CGGGCCACAUCCGGCCCGUUAGGCUUUUUAAUCCGGCCCGCCGAACUUGUCCAAAUCGCGACUUUGUUUACUUCCGGUGUGCGUUGGCGCGGAAAGAACUCGUCACACAAAACCCUUCACCGUGAUUUGUCAAUCCGUUUGUCUGUCAACAUUUUGCGAAAAAACAACAACCAAUGAACACUCAGUAAAUCACAAAGGACCCGCCCACCACACAGGUGAGACUCAUUUAGAAACAGCCGCAGUGAUUUUGGCGAGCAGCGCGGAGCCUGGAGGAGGAGGAGCCACGAGGAGAAACACGCAGCCAGAAGAGGUCCACUUUGACCGGAGAGGAUUCACCAGCGCCUGCAGCUCCACCUGCAGCUCCACCUGCCCGGCCAGCAGAGAGCUCUCGUGACACGAUGACAUGAUGUUAUUAUAGUGAAGCCAUAUUGUAGAUAGUCAAUAGUUGUGUUCUGUUUUCUAUUUCACAACAUGUAUAUAAUGUAGAUUUAUUUUUAUUUUUAUGUACAAUACAUAUUUAUUAAAAAAAAAAUGUAAUGGUCAUUUUUUAUUUGCACACACCCCAUGAAACUUUAUCUGCAAUAUGAAGUAAUUUCUCAGUCCCAUCUUUAUCAUUUUGGUGAAUGUGUGACAGACCACAUCAUUUUUACUAAAAAAACGUUAAUACAAAAUU